AAAACCAAAACCUUGAAACCAUUCGUUGCCCACAGCUGGUCGCCAACGUCACCGACACCAAAUCCACUACCAUUAUCGCCUCCGCAUUCUUUUUUCUUUUUACUGCCAAAUGGAUCCCACAUGAAAACUUAAAAUUAAAACCAAUAUAUUUGAUUUGGAAAAACAGAAUCAUCUCAACUUACAACCCACCGCCAUCUUGCUAAGUUCAAGCGUCUGAACCACCACACUAUCACCAUCACCAGUCCAAUGAGCUAGAUUUGAGGAAAUAACCACCACAGCUACCACAACACGUCCACCCCUGUCUACAAUCUAUAACCACCAAACACUUCUACCACAAACUUAAUCAAAGCCGAAAACCCAUUAGGCAACUAGUGCCACCACCGACCUAAAUUGCCACGACCUCUACCAUCAACCCAUACUAGAACCACCUACCACCAGUGUCGACAACUACCAACACAUGUAAAUCCAAAAAAUCCUAACACCACAAAGGAAAAAAAAGCACAUAUUCUCAUUUUCAUAUCCAAAUUCACUCGAUCGAGAAAUGUUUUCAAACAACAUUAAGCCCCCAUUAGUUCCCCAUUUUGUGGAAAUAAAAAUAGG
rnacentral:lncRNA from 1 species